GCAUCGGGACCCCUCCUCCGUACAUGCCCGAACCACCUCAGCCUCGCUUCCCGCAUCUUCUCGUCCACUGGGGCCACCUCUACCUUCUGACGAAUACCUUCUGAGUCAAACACUAGUAUUUAAUUUCUUGGUCUGCCACUUGAACUUUUUUUCAAACUUUUCCAAUGUAGAACAAUGAGAAUCUUUUUUUUUCUUGUCAUGGCGGGGCAUUUCCUUUCAAAUGUGCAAAAUUGACUUUUACAAAAAUUGUGAUUAAUACCUAAUUCACCCAACUUGUGCCUCAAAGUGACAUUGGCCGCUGCCCAUCUCAAAGACUGACCUGCCACUUUUCGCAAAGCAAGGGAGUUCUGUCUGAAAUUGCUGUCUUCGGCUAAAAUGUGAAUAGAUUUAAAAUAAUACAUGUAAAAGCGAAUACCUGAUGCAAAUCCUACAUAAUUUUGCAGUCAUAUUUAUGGUUGCAAGAAUUGGUUAAUUUGGCUGUAUCCAGUUGCUCAUCUUUAUGCAUCACAUAACUUGGAAAUUUCUCUAAAACGAGUGGUUUCACCACUUGGAUAUCAAACUGAUUAUGAGGUAGUGGACUUAUUAAGUCUGCACAUGAGGAAGACAAGUUAGGGAACAAAGUAACUGAAGAUUCAAAUGAUAACAGACAAUAAAUUAAUGUGUCCUUUAUUCUCACAAUAAAAUUUCAUCAUAGAAACAUCUUUGAGACAGGUAAAAGUUAUAAAGAAUUGUAAAUUAACUAUUGUGAAAAUAAGGAGAUCUUACCACCAUUUAAAGUCUCAAAACCACAUCGUUAUUAUCCAUGCCAUGUUACUACUAACUUAUGCAAUUAUGGAGAAAACCUUCAAAUCUUUUCUCUUAGCACUCUUGUUGCUUCACUAUGUAAUGGCUAGUUUAGCCAUGACCCACACCAACACUACCACUGAUCAAGUAGCUCUUCUUUCCUUUAAAUCCCAAAUUUCUGACCCCUUUCAGUUUUUGGAUGAAAGCUGGUCUCCAGCUACUUCUGUCUGCCAUUGGGUUGGAAUCAGUUGUGGUUCUCGCCACCAGAGAGUGAGGUCAUUGAAUAUUUCCAACAUGGCUCUUACAGGCAGAAUUCCCCCUGAUUUCGGAAAUCUUACAUUUCUUGUUUCUAUUGACUUGCACAGCAACAAUUUCUAUGGCAAUUUGCCUCAAGAAAUGGCACAUUUGUGUCGGUUAAGAUUUGUUGAAGUUAGUUUUAACAACUUCAGCGGGGAGAUUCCUUCUUGGUUUGGCAUCUUACACCAACUUCAAGUUCUGAAUCUAGCAAACAAUAGUUCCAAUGGUUCCAUUCCCUCUUUCUAUUCUAAUAUUUCCACGCUUCAAUCGUUGGACUUGACCUUCAAUUCCUUAGGCGGGCAGAUCCCAGAGGACAUUGGAAAUCUUGAAAAUCUGAGGUUUUUAAGCUUUGCUGGAAACAAGCUUAUAGGUUCUAUCCCUCCAUCUCUCUCAAAUAGGCAAUGGUGAUGACUUUAGAUCUUUCUCUCAAUUUCCUUAAAGGAAACAUCCCAGAAGAGAUUGGAAAACUUCAAAACCUAAAUAUUUUGGCAAUAGAAUCUAAUCAACUGACAGGUUCUAUACCACUCUCGAUCUUCAACAUUUCUGGAAUUGAAGUCAUUGCAUUUACAAAUAAUACCUUAUCAGGAAAUCUACCUGCUGACAUGUGUGAUUAUCUUCCAAUGCUCGAAAAGCUUUAUCUAAGUAUGAAUGAGCUACGCGGUCAUAUGCCUCUAAGCUUGCCAAACUGUUCGAACAUUCAAAUAUUGUCUUUAUCUGACAACAAGUUUGAUGGACCUUUACAUAAUGAAAUCGGGAUUCUUAAUAAUUUGGUGAUUUUAGGGCUGGAGACAAACCAUAUUUCUGGUGAAUCCCAGUCUCCACAUUCAAUAUCUCCUCUCUGCAGGUUUUGGUACUAGCUCACAACAAUCUUAUUGGAUCCUUUCCAAGGGAGGAAGGCAAUUUGACCAAAUUGCAAAUUCUGGAUCUUGCUAAUAAUAUUCUUACAGGUAUGUAUGUAGUCAAAAGGGAUAUUGCAAGAAUUAUAGCUUGCUAAAGUGAAAUUAACAAACUACGUUAAUUACUAAUUAUACAUACAUAUAUACAUUGGCAGGUGAAAUACCGAAAGAAGUAAGCAAUCUCAUUGAGUUGUUUGAUCUGAGUUUCAACAAGUUUACCGGUUCACUACCAAUGGAGAUCUCAACAUAUCAGGGAUGAGAGAGAUUCAACUUAUAUUCAAUAAUCUGACAGGAGCCCUCCCAUUAAACAUAGGUUCUACGUUACCCAAUAUUGAAGUUCUUCAUCGGGGAAACUUAAAUCUUUAUGGGACUAUACCUCAUUCUGUCUCCAAUUGUUCCAAACUCACUAGUCUAGACCUUUCUCUCAAUAGACUCACCGGUUUGAUUCCCAACUCCCUCGGACUUUUGACUCGCCUAUAGUCCCUAAGCUUGGCAAUAAACAAUUUAAUGAGCGACACUAGGUUAAGCUUCUUGACUUCCUUGUCAAAUUGUAGAGAUUUAAAAUUUCUUUUUCUAUCUUCAAACCCUCUAUAUGGUGUGCUUCCAGACACCUUAGGGAACCUUUCCGCCACUUCUCUUCUAAGGUUUAGAGCUAUUGAUUGCAGAAUUAAAGGGGAAAUUCCAAAAGGAAUUGGGAACUUAAGUAGCUUAUUAGAGAUUGAUCUUUCUGAAAAUGGCUUAACUGGAUCAAUUCCCAUAACAAUUAGCAACUUGAGAUCCCUUCAGAGCUGUAAGUUGAGUCGCAAAAAACUUUCUGGAUUUACUGGAAUCGAUCUAUGUAAAUUGCAGAACUUGGGUUAUUUACACUUGACCCAAAAUCAACUUUCAGGAUCUCUUCCUAAUUGUAUAGGGAACUUAACUUCCCUUCAGGAGAUAUUUCUAGGUUCCAACAAACUGCGUUCAGACAUACCAGCAAGCUUAGGGAACCUAAUAAAUCUCUUGAAGCUAGACUUAUCUUCAAACAACUUGGGUGGCUCAUUACCUCUGGAAAUCGGAAAUCUAAAGGCCGUGAUAUAUAUUGAUCUAUCAAUGAAUACACUCUCAAAUGGCAUUCUUGGAGGAAUAGGUAGCUUGCAAAAUCUAAUACACCUUUCUUUGAGAGACAAUAAAUUGCAAGGAUCAAUACCUGACUCAAUGAGCAGCAUGUCGGCUUUGGAAUUUCUAGACCUUUCUCAUAACAAUGUUUCUGGAUUAAUUCCAAAGUCAUUGGAGAAGCUUCAAAAUCUCAAGUAUUUUAAUGUUUCUUUCAACAAGUUGGUUGGUGAAAUCCCCUCUGGCGGUCCGUUCAAGAACCUCUCCAGUCAGUCUUUCAUGUCCAAUGAAGCAUUGUGUGGUUCUCCAAGAUUUCGGGUUCUGCCAUGCCCCACUAGUACUGCAAAGCAUAGAUCCAGGAGGAAAAAAGUACUUGUUCUAAUUCUACUGGUCGGAAUUCCACUUGUUGUAGUAAUGCCUAUCGUUGAGCCGAGGGUCGAUUGGAAACAGCCUCUCUGCCCUUUCGGCUAGGGGUAAGGCUCGUAUACAUAUUACCUCCCCAGACCCCACUUUGUGGGACUAUACUGGGUAGUUGUUUUUGUUGUUGUUGUUGUAGUAAUGCCUAUCGCGUUUGUGCUUGUAUGGAUAAGGUAUAUAAGAGGCAAAAGAACUGAUCCUCAGCAAACAGCUGAAUCAUUGUAUGACGUCUCAACAAGAGAACGAAUUUCAUACUAUGAAUUGCUCCAAGCAACUGAUUCGCUCAACGAGAGCAAUUGGAUUGGUUCUGGGAGUUUCGGCUCUGUUUACAAAGGCAUCCUCAGAGAUGGGACUCCUAUUGCAGCUAAAGUGUUCAAUCUGCAAUUGCAAGCAGCAUUUAGGAGUUUUGAUACAGAAUGCCAAGUUUUGCGCAACAUUCUCCAUAGGAAUCUCACCAAAGUCGUCACUAGCUGUUCCAACCAUGAAUUCAAGGCUUUGGUACUUGAGUACAUCCCUAACGGGAGCCUCGAUAAGUGGUUGUAUUCACACAACUACUUCUUAGACAUCAAGAAUAGACUAAGUAUAAUGAUAGAUGUGGCAUGUGCAUUGGAAUAUCUCCACCAUGGCUGCUCAUUGCCCGUGAUUCACUGUGAUUUGAAGCCUAGUAACGUCUUGUUGGACGAGGACAUGGUUGCCCACCUAAGUGACUUUGGCAUUUCAAAACUGCUUUCUGAAGAUGAGAGUGCUUCGUACACUAAAACUUUAGCAACAUUGGUUUAUAUUGCACCAGGUAAGUGAUCUCUUAAUUAAUUUAUUUUGAAAAUUUCUCGUUCUUUUCUCAUCCAGUAAAUGCUGAAUUUAAAAUUGACUGAUUGUAGAGUAUGGACUGGAGGGACUAGUGUCAACAAAAUCCGAUGUUUAUAGUUAUGGAAUCAUGUUGAUGGAAACAUUUACAAGGACAAAGCCUAGUGAUGAAAUGUUUGAUGGAGAUCUUAGCUUGAAGCGAUGGGUGAGCAACUCACUCCCACGGGCAGUAAUGGAAGUUGUUGAUGCCAACUUAAUAACGCCACAGGAUAAUCAAUUAAUGAAAAAGUUAGAUUGUGUGGUUUCCUACAUUAAAACUUUAGCUACAUUGGGUUAUAUUGCACCAGGUAAGUAAUCUCUUAAUUAAUUGCUUUUGAAUAUUUUUUCUUUUCUUUAUUCCACCAGUAAAUGCUGAAUUUAAAAUUUGACUGAUUGUAGAGUAUGGACAGGAGGGAUUGGUGUCAACGAAAUGCAAUGUUUAUAGUUACGGAAUCAUGUUGAUGGAAAUAUUUACAAGGACAAAGCCUAAUGAUGAAAUGUUUGAUGGAGAUCUUAGCUUGAAGCAAUGGGUGAGCAAUUCACUCCCGCAGGCAGUAGGAGAAGUUAUCGAUGCUAACUUAAUAAAGCCACAGGAUAAUCACCUAAUGAAAAAGUUAGAUUGUGUGGUUUCCAUCAUGAAUGUGGCAAUAGAUUGUUGUGUUGAAUCUCCUAAAGAAAGGAUUGACAUGAAAGAUGUUGUAGUGAGGUUAAACACGAUCAAGAUUCAACUUCUUGCAUGGUGAGCAAGUUCUUAUAAGAAACUUCUCUUCCAAAUCAUCUCGUGUGUAAAAUAUUUGCAAUAAUAUUUAGCUUCAAAUAGGCUAUAGUUUGGUUUGAUUCGUAACAUCUAUUUGUAGGUAAGGAGGAACUUUUCCUUUUGUUAAAUCUAUUUGCCCAGUCCUUUUAAUUAAUCUGCUAUAAUUAGGAUCUUGAUUGGAAUUGAGGCAUAGUAAUUGUUGUUGUUGUAAUUCUAAUUAGGAUCUUGAUUAGCUUCAAUUUUUGUGUCAAAUCUCCAUAAGGAUUGACAUGAAAGAUCUUGUAGGAGAUUAAAGAAAACCAAGAUUCAACUUACUGCAUGUUGAGCAAGUACCUAAAAUUCAUUUAUUCCAGAACACUCGUGUGUUGCAAAUAUUUGCAACAAAAAAAAGUAUUUAGUUUCAAAUAUGUUAUAAUUUAAUAUCCUUCGUAACAUAGAGAAUUGAGGGUAUACUUCUGCUCUCUUAACUUGAAGUCUUAGUUGAGCAACACUACUGGAAAUACGCGAAAUUCCGACACUCAGUCUAAGUGAGCAACAAUAUUGGAACUACAUGAAAUUCUUACGGCCAUAUCCGUCGGAAAGUCGUCGGAACAGUAUAUGAAUUAUCGGCGGGAAAAAAACCAUUAGAAAUACGCGCAACUUUUUAGACGGCAAACCAUCAAAUUUUAUGACAGAUAUUUCUAACAGCAAGGAGGUCACUGCAAACUAACAUGUUCAGAUUUUCAGUAAAGGAAACUUCACACAAUGAGAGAAUUCACAUCAGAAAAUACACCAAACCCCACCCCCAUCGUAGAGUACUGUACCUUCUUAUGAAAGUUUACAAAAAAUCAUGCACGAAAUCACCUACUGGAAUUCAUUUUUAACAUUUCAAACCACGAAAAGAAAUUUCAUUUGUUAAGAUUCUUUCAAGGCUCAGUACAACUGAUUUCAAUUGAGUUAAUAGCCUAAAACCCACAUAAACUAUACAACCUUUGUCAGUUAACUAACUAAAUUAUCACCUGUCCCCGAAAACUAAACAUGAUUCCCCACUUAACAAUGCAAACAAAUAGCUCUGAACCAUAUUGAUUCAGAAUUCCACUAAAUGAUCAGUCACACAGCCAAGGAACUCAUUUAGGCAAUUGAGCAAACAUUUUAUGGGCAACAACUUUUCCUGAUUAUUUUCCUUCUAAUGUGCAUAGAUGUUGUAAUUAGGAAAAAUAUUCAAUUCGUAAAUCUGGUAAUACAGAGAAGAGCUCGGGGAUUCCAUACCUGACGUUGUGCGAUUUGGCGAUUUCAUAACUAAUUUUCAAUUUGAAGAAUGUGUGAUUGUUUUCCAAUGACUAGAUGGUAGAGUUCAGUUAUCAGAAUUAAAAAGUUAUUUCCCUCCAGGAGUGAUUUAAAUAAGAAAUAAAAUAGAGUACUGCAAUUUUUGAAUUACAUUUGUAUUUGUAGUAAGAAUAGAGUACAGAUGCAGAGAAAAUUGUAAGGAUUUAUUCUUAA
rnacentral:lncRNA from 1 species